rnacentral:rRNA from 1 species
AUUGAACGCUGGCGGCAGGCUUAACACAUGCAAGUCGAGCGGAGUGAUGGUGCUUGCACUAUCACUUAGCGGCGGACGGGUGAGUAAUGCUUAGGAAUCUGCCUAUUAGUGGGGGACAACAUCUCGAAAGGGAUGCUAAUACCGCAUACGUCCUACGGGAGAAAGCAGGGGAUCACUUGUGACCUUGCGCUACUAGAUGAGCCUAGGUUGGAUUAGAUAGUUGGGGGGGUAAAGGCCUACCAAGGCGACGAUCUGUAGCGGGUCUGAGAGGAUGAUCCGCCACACUGGGACUGAGACACGGCCCAGACUCCUACGGGAGGCAGCAGUGGGGAAUAUUGGACAAUGGGGGGAACCCUGAUCCAGCCAUGCCGCGUGUGUGAAGAAGGCCUUAUGGUUGUAAAGCACUUUAAGCGAGGAGGAGGCUCUUUUGGUUAAUACCCAAGAUGAGUGGACGUUACUCGCAGAAUAAGCACCGGCUAACUCUGUGCCAGCAGCCGCCGUAA